rnacentral:rRNA from 1 species
CAGGCUUAACACAUGCAAGUCGAACGCCCCGCAAGGGGAGUGGCAGACGGGGGCAACCCUGGUGGCGAGUGGCGAACGGGUGAGUAAUGCAUCGGAACGUGCCCAGUAGUGGGGGAUAACCAGUCGAAAGACUGGCUAAUACCGCAUACGACCUAAGGGUGAAAGCGGGGGACCGUAAGGCCUCGCGCUAUUGGAGCGGCCGAUGUCUGAUUAGCUAGUUGGCGGGGUAAGAGCCCACCAAGGCGACGAUCAGUAGCUGGUCUGAGAGGACGACCAGCCACACUGGGACGGAGACACGGCCCAGACUCCUACGGGAGGCAGCAGUGGGGAAUUUUGGACAACGGGCGCAAGCCUGAUCCAGCCAUGCCGCGUGCGGGAAGAAGGCCUUCGGGUUGUAAACCGCUUUUGGCAGGAACGAAACGGCGCAGGCCAAUACCUUGCGCUAAUGACGGUACCUGCAGAAUAAGCACCGGCUAACUACGUGCCAGCCGCCGCAGUAAUAC